UUGAGACAUACCUGCUGGAGCGCGUGCUACGGGUGGAUGUUAUUAUGACCAGUGAGCUGAGAUAAGGCAGAGCUUUACCUAGCAAAGGCUUAUAGGUGACCUGGCGACGAAUAUGCAGCGAGGGCCAGCCGAUUAGAGCAUACAGGUCGCAGUGGUGGGUGGUAUAUGGGGCUUUGGUGACAAAACGGAUGGCACUGUGAUAGACUGCAUCCAGUUUGCUGAGUAGAGUGUUGGAGGCUAUUUUGUAAAUGUAAUCGCCGAAGUCGAGGAUCAGUAGGAUAAUCAGUUUUACUAGGGUAUUGGUGUGCAACGACCAGACCUCUCUGGUAUAACUUAGCCAACGACUUUAGAUAACGCUAUUGCUGUUUAUGUAGGCAGCUCUUUUGAGGCAGGCUGGCUAAUGUUUUAGUUAACGUUAGCAUAGAUAAUUAGCUAGCUAGCGCAUUACAACUUAGUUAGGUCGUAGCUUAUACACGUUUAUUGUGUAUUGUCUACAUACUGUUGGUUAUGUGACGUUAUUUGUUAAUGCUAGCCGAGGCAGGCUGGCUAGCUAACAUUAGCUAACUACAAGUUGGAUUUGCAAAUUCAUUUGUAGCUCAUACAAGUGUAUUCUGUAUUGUCAUGGAUGCCGCUAUGGGGGUAGCUAAUGUAACAGAUGUGAUCGUUCUUAGUAACUGUCUUGCAUUGUGUUUAUAAAGAAAGGAAUACCCAGCCAAAGGUCCCAGUUGAUUAGUGUUUAUUCUGACAAUAGACAUUAAGGAAGCACAUUAGAUGUGCAGGACAACAGUUUGUUGAUGGCUGUAGAUUCAUGAUUCGUCUGUUACCAUGGAAAUAACUGUGAAUUAGCAGGGAGCUAAUGCAACCAUUACAAUUAGAGCAUGCUAGCUAGCUGAGUGUUCAAAUCUGUCAUCAAGGCAAAGGUUGGCUACUUUGAAGAAUCUCAAAUAUAAAAUAUAUUUUGAUUUGUUUAACACCUUUUUGAUUACUACAUGGUUCCAUAUAUGUUAUUUCUCCCCCUAUCUGCAAGCAUGACUACUGGCAUAACAAUUUAUUGACAUGUAAAUUCAAACAACCAAUAGGAAUGGGGUGGCAGUGUAGCCUAGUGUGUUGGACUAGCAACCAGAAGGUUGCAAGUUCAAACCCCCGAGCUGACAAGGUACAAAUCUGUCGUUCUGCCCCCGAACAGGCCGUCAUUGAAAAUAAGAAUUUGUUCUUAUCUGACUUGCCUAGUUAAAUGAAAUAAAAAAUACAUAAACACUGAAUACAUGUUUCUGCAGUGUCAAUGGAAACAUAACUAACCCUGUUACAUUAACAAAUGUUAGAGUCUGACUAAUUCUGUGAACUAGGGGCAACAAACCGUAACUGCAUCACUGGCCUGAAUUGUAUCAAAUCUGGAGCUAUAGUCGUAAAACAGAAUUAGGGUUUACACUAGUUACCACAGCCACAGAGUCCCCGACCUGAUUCUAAAGUCAAACUUGGUAAAAUAUUCAUGAAAACAAAAAUGUGCUUUUUGGUCUUAAUUUAAGUUUAGGGUUAGCAGUGGGUUAGGGUGAAGAUUAAGUUUAAAAUCACAUUUUAAGAAGAAAACUUGUAGAAAUUUGUGGGGUAAAUUACUUUCUUGCUGUGGUAACUAGUGACAACUUAGAAUUAUCUUGACCCAAGCUACUUUCCUGAUGAAACAGACUGCUUCAUCUACAACGGUAAUGUGUGUUAUGUGAAAAGUUGUAUAAAGUUUGAUAAACUAAUAGGUUCAUGAUGUGAUAUCAUGAUAGCUGAAGUGAAAUGGAAUGCAGCGUUCAGGUUGGUUCCACCAUGCUAAUCAUAACCACCAUUGAUAAUGUAAUCAGUGCUCUGUGGGUGUGUUUGUGUGUGUGGUGACCAGUACCUUUGAGGGGCCAGGAGCUGAUAUACGCUGCCAUGCCCAUCAAUGGGACGAUAGCAAAGACCUUACCUCCAGCCUCACCUCUUGCCUGCUCACCAAAGGAUGUCGAUGGGGAGACCAGAAUCAGAUGCAGCUAUGGAGCCAGCACUUGGAGACUUGCUAGACGAUGUGAUAGAGGCCUGACCGACAGACAGGCUUGACACUGACGUCUCUGAAUGGAGAGAGACCUGGCACUCAGCACAUCCACAAUGUGGGACUGAAGAUGAGGAGGACUGGGGAUGCUUCUGCCAGACGCCAGCCUCGGUCGUUUGAUGGGGAGACUAUAAUUGGGCAGGUUUGGUCUUACCUGUUCAGAGUUCAACAUUAGUACCCGUUUGUGUGUCAGAUUACAUAUCGUAACC